CUCCCUGUGGCUCAGUUGGUAGAGCAUGGUGUUUGCCAGGGUUGUGGGUUCGAUUCCCACGGGGGGC
rnacentral:tRNA from 1 species